AUACCUUUCUCGGCCUUUUGGCUAAGAUCAAGUGUAGUAUCUGUUCUUAUCAGUUUAAUAUCUGAUAUGUGAGUCAUUGAUUCACACGAUAUUAAAUUUAUUUUUUGAGGGGGAGAGCCCUUCAUGGUAGCUUGCUGCCUGGGCUUUUGAGUGUCGCCUUGGCGUUGCACUACUGCCAUGGCUUGGCACACCCCAC